rnacentral:rRNA from 1 species
GACGAAGGAUGCAAGCGUUAUCCGGAUUCAUUGGGUUUAAAGGGAGCGUAGGUGGCCUUGUAAGUCAGUGGUGAAAUCCUGUCGCUUAACGAUAGAAUUGCCAUUGAUACUGCAGGGCUUGAGUACAGUUGCCGUUGGCGGAAUAUGACAUGUAGUGGUGAAAUACAUAGAUAUGUCAUAGAACACCGAAUUGCGAAAGGCAGCUGACGAAACUGUAACUGACACUGAGGCUCGAAAGUGAUGGGGGAUCGAAAACCAAGGAGUU